UACGUAGGGCGCAAGCGUUAUCCGGAAUUAUUGGGCGUAAAGAGCUCGUAGGCGGCUUUGCAAGACAGAUGUGAAAUCCCCGGGCUUAACUCGGAAACUGCCAUUGAUACUAUUAGUCUUGAAUUAUCUGGAGGUGAGCGGAAUAUGUCAUGUAGCGGUGAAAUGCUUAGAUAUGACAUAGAACACCAAUUGCGAAGGCAGCUCACUACGGAUAUAUUGACACUGAGGCACGAAAGCGUGGGGAUCGAACAGG
rnacentral:rRNA from 1 species